rnacentral:rRNA from 1 species
CCUACGGGAGGCAGCAGUGGGGAAUAUUGCACAAUGGGGGAAACCCUGAUGCAGCGACGCCGCGUGGGUGAAGAAGUAUUUCGGUAUGUAAAGCUCUAUCAGCAGGGAAGAAAAAUGACGGUACCUGACUAAGAAGCACCGGCUAAAUACGUGCCAGCAGCAGCGGUCAUACGUAUGGUGCAAGCGUUAUCCGGAUUUACUGGGUGUAAAGGGAGCGCAGGCGGCACGCUAAGCCUGAUGUGAAAACCAGCGGCCCAACCGCGGGAGUGCAGUGGGAACUGGCGAGCUGGAGUACCGGAGGGGCAGGCGGAAUUCCUAGUGUAGCGGUGAAAUGCGUAGAUAUUAGGAGGAACACCAGUGGCGAAGGCGGCCUGCUGGACGGAGACUGACGCUGAGGCUCGAAAGCGUGGGGAUCAAACAGGAUUAGAUACCCGGGUAGUC